GCUCUCUAUGCUCUGUCAUC
rnacentral:miRNA from 1 species